CCACUUUGUAAUGAAGCCAAGUUUUUUCUGCCUGUGCAACUUUAUGAAGCAUAAGAAUCUGACAUUUCAAGGGUUUCAUAGCUUCUGCUUAAAGGAUUUUCUGCGCCAGAAGAAUAUACGCCACAAAGGGGUUUCUACAGCAGCUCCCAAAAUGCAUUAAAAGAAAUACAAAAUUCUAAACUAUCCAUCAAAGCCCACUUUUCAGAUCUCAUUUUUCCCAAGCUCGGGGAAGCACAUCGGAAUGAAAACCACUAACAACUUAUAGUAAAUCCUGUGCAAUUCACGUUUUGAAUGGGGUAACUCCAUAAUCUUCUGCAGGUUAAAGGCUUCACUUUUGAGCAUUUGAUCCCUAUCUAGUAAUUGGAACAAGAUUUUAUCUGAACACGUUCAAGUGGAUAUAAAAUGUUUCAUUUUGUGGCCUUUAUAAAUGGAAUCAUACCAGUUUCAGAAGAAUUUCUGUUCUAGUGCAUUGUUUGGACAUGUUUUUAUUGCUUAUUAAAACAUCUGUUUGAUACCGUACUUAAGCAAACAAAAA